CCUACGGGCGGCAGCAGUGGGGAAUAUUGGGCAAUGGACGCAAGUCUGACCCAGCAACGCCGCGUGAAGGAAGAAGGCUUUCGGGUUGUAAACUUCUUUUAAGGGGGAAGAGCAGAAGACGGUACCCCUUGAAUAAGCCACGGCUAACUACGUGCCAGCAGCCGCGGUAAUACGUAGGUGGCAAGCGUUGUCCGGAUUUACUGGGGGUAAAGGGCGUGCAGCCGGAGAGACAAGUCAGAUGUGAACUCCACGGGCUCAACCCGUGAACUGCAUUUGAAACUGUUUCCCUUGAGUGUCGACGAGGUAAUCGGAAUUCCUUGUGUAGCGGUGAAAUGCGUAGAUAUAAGGAAGAAUACCAGUGGCGAAGGCGGAUUACUGGACGAUAACUGACGGUGAGGCGCGAAAGCGUGGGGGGCAAACAGGAUUAGAUACCCCAGUAGUC
rnacentral:rRNA from 1 species